rnacentral:tRNA from 1 species
GUUCUUGUAGCUCAGUUGGUUAGAGCAUCGGUCUUAUGAGCCGAAGGUCCACGGUUCGAGCCCGUGCUGGAACA